GUGAUAAGCCAAUGGUGCGAAGCUACCAUCUGAGGGAUUAUGACUGAACGCCUCUAAGUCAGAAUCCCGCCUGGAAAGCGACGAUGCAUUCGUGCCUCGGCCUCGAGAGGCGUAGCUAGACGGCCGCGUGGCCGUGGAAAGAGCCCGAUUCCGACCCGAGAGGCCGCGGCAAGAGGCGGCCUCGAAGUCGGUGGAUCCUCCUGCUCGAAAGGCGGGGUGCUAAACCAUUCGCAGACGACCUAGUUGAAGAUCGGGGUGUCGUGAUCACUAGAGCAGUACAUCUCACUGCGAUUUGUUGAGAGUAAGCCUCAAGAUCUGUCGGUUUGU
rnacentral:ncRNA from 1 species